rnacentral:rRNA from 1 species
UGGGGAAUUUUGCGCAAUGGGGGAAACCCUGACGCAGCAACGCCGCGUGAGUGAUGAAGGCCUUCGGGUCGUAAAGCUCUGUCAGAGGGAAAGAAGUGUAUGGCGGAUAAUACCCGUUGUACUUGACGGUACCCUCAAAGGAAGCACCGGCUAACUCCGUGCCAGCAGCCGCGGUAAUACGGAGGGUGCAAGCGUUGUUCGGAUUUAUUGGGCGUAAAGCGCGUGUAGGCGGUUUCUUAAGUCUGAUGUGAAAGCCCUGGGCUCAACCCAGGAAGUGCAUUGGAUACUGGGAGACUUGAAUACGGGAGAGGGCAGUGGAAUUCCUAGUGUAGGAGUGAAAUCCGUAGAUAUUAGGAGGAACACCGGUGGCGAAGGCGGCUGCCUGGACCGAUAUUGACGCUGAGACGCGAAAGCGUGGGGAGCAAACA